GUGGGGAAUAUUGGACAAUGGGCGAAAGCCUGAUCCAGCCAUGCCGCGUGUGUGAAGAAGGUCUUCGGAUUGUAAAGCACUUUAAGUUGGGAGGAAGGGCAGUAAGUUAAUACCUUGCUGUUUUGACGUUACCAACAGAAUAAGCACCGGCUAACUUCGUGCCAGCAGCCGCGGUAAUACGAAGGGUGCAAGCGUUAAUCGGAAUUACUGGGCGUAAAGCGCGCGUAGGUGGUUUUGUAAGUUGGAGGUGAAAUCCCCGGGCUCAACCUGGGAACUGCCUCCAAAACUGCAUGACUAGAGUACGGUAGAGGGUAGUGGAAUUUCCUGUGUAGCGGUGAAAUGCGUAGAUAUAGGAAGGAACACCAGUGGCGAAGGCGACUACCUGGACUGAUACUGACACUGAGGUGCGAAAGCGUGGGGAGCAAACAGGAUUAGAAACCCCGGUAGUCC
rnacentral:rRNA from 1 species